AGCGUUUCUCCAUAUCACCCGUGUCUGGCCCUGUGCUGGGGGCAGAUGAGAGAGGCACGGUCCAGUGCCCAGGAGUCCGCAGCCAGGAGGACAGCCCUGGAGACCUGCCCGUGCCACCAGCCCCUCGGGUUCCAAGAUGCAGCUACUGGAGACAGAGUUCUCACACACCGUGGGCGAGCUCAUCGAGGUGCACCUGCGGCGCCAGGACAGCAUCCCUGCCUUCCUCAGCUCGCUCACCCUCGAGCUCUUCAGCCGCCAGACCGUGGCGUAGCCUGCAGGCUCGGGGGCAUAGCCGGAGCCACUCUGCUUGGCCUGACCUGCAGGUCCCCUGCCCCGCCAGCCACAGGCUGGGUGCACGUCCUGCCUCUCCAGCCCCACAGGGCAGCAGCAUGACUGACAGACACGCUGGGACCUACGUCGGGCUUCCUGCUGGGGCGGCCAGCACCCUCUCCACGUGCAGACCCCAUGCGUCCCGGAGCCUGGUGUGUGGGCGUCGGCCACCAGCCUGGGUUCCUCACCUUGUGAAAUAAAAUCUUCUCCCCUAGACA
rnacentral:lncRNA from 1 species